UACAGGGGGGGCGAGCGUUGUUCGGAAUUACUGGGCGUAAAGGGCGCGUAGGCGGCCUGUUAAGUCGGACGUGAAAUCCCUCGGCUCAACCGGGGAACUGCGUCCGAUACUGGCGGGCUUGAAUUCGGGAGAGGGAUGUGGAAUUCCAGGUGUAGCGGUGAAAUGCGUAGAUAUCUGGAGGAACACCGGUGGCGAAGGCGGCAUCCUGGACCGACAUUGACGCUGAGGCGCGAAAGCCAGGGGAGCAAACGGG
rnacentral:rRNA from 1 species